rnacentral:rRNA from 1 species
GACCAGCGGAGGGAUCAUUACCGAGUUUACAACUCCCAAACCCAAUGUGAACCAUACCAAACUGUUGCCUCGGCGGGGUCACGCCCCGGGUGCGUCGCAGCCCCGGAACCAGGCGCCCGCCGGAGGGACCAACCAAACUCUUUACUGUAGUCCCCUCGCGGACGUUAUUUCUUACAGCUCUGAGCAAAAAAUUCAAAAUGAAUCAAAACUUUCAACAACGGAUCUCUUGGUUCUGGCAUCGAUGAAGAACGCAGCGAAAUGCGAUAAGUAAUGUGAAUUGCAGAAUUCAGUGAAUCAUCGAAUCUUUGAACGCACAUUGCGCCCGCCAGUAUUCUGGCGGGCAUGCCUGUCCGAGCGUCAUUUCAACCCUCGAACCCCUCCGGGGGGUCGGCGUUGGGGAUCGGGAACCCCUCAGACGGGAUCCCGGCCCCGAAAUACAGUGGCGGUCUCGCCGCAGCCUCUCCUGCGCAGUAGUUUGCACAACUCGCACCGGGAGCGCGGCGCGUCCACGUCCGUAAAACACCCAACUUUCUGAAAUGUUGACCUCGGAUCAGGUAGGAAUACCCGCUGAACUUAAGCAUAUCAUAAG